rnacentral:rRNA from 1 species
UACGUAGGGUGCGAGCGUUAAUCGGAAUUACUGGGCGUAAAGCGUGCGCAGGCGGCGCGUUAAGACAGGUGUGAAAGCCCCGAGCUUAACUUGGGAAUUGCGCUUGUGACUGGCGUGCUGGAGUGUGGCAGAGGGAGGUGGAAUUCCACGUGUAGAGGUGAAAUUCGUAGAUAUUGGGAAGAACACCGGUGGCGAAGGCGGCUCACUGGCCCGUAACUGACGCUCAUGCACGACAGCGUGGGGAGUCAAACAGG